rnacentral:rRNA from 1 species
CAAUGGCCGGUACAACGGGGUGCGACACGGUGACGUGGGGCGGAUCCCUGAAAACCGGUCUCAGUUCGGAUCGCAGUCUGCAACUCGACUGCGUGAAGGUGGAGUCGCUAGUAAUCGCGGAUCAGCAACGCCGCGGUGAAUGCGUUCCCGGGCCUUGUACACACCGCCCGUCAAGUCAUGAAAGUGGGCAGCACCCGAAGACGGUGGCCUAACCCUUGUGGGGGGAGCCGUCUAAGGUGAGGCUCGUGAUUGGGACUAAGUCGUAACAAGGUAAC